AACGAACGUUGGCGGCGUGGAUUAGGCAUGCAAGUCGAGCGAGAUUCUAAUUUUUCAAUUCUUCGGAAGAGAGGCUUUAGAUGAGAGCGGCGAACGGGUGAGUAAUAAUGGGUAAUUUGCCUCUUUGUUCGGGAUAGCCGUCGGAAACGAUGAUUAAUACCGAAUGUGUUCAGGAACUUCAUGGUUCCUUCUAUAAAGGCAGGGAUUCUUCGGAACCUGUCGCAAAGAGAUAAGCCCAUUUCCUAUCAGCUUGUUGGUGAGGUAACGGCUCACCAAGGCUUACGGGUAGCUGGUCUGAGAGGAUGGUCAGCCACACUGGGACUGAGACACUGCCCAG
rnacentral:rRNA from 1 species